rnacentral:rRNA from 1 species
UAAGCGACUAAGCGUACACGGUGGAUGCCUAGGCAGUCAGAGGCGAUGAAGGGCGUGCUAAUCUGCGAAAAGCGUCGGUAAGGUGAUAUGAACCGUUAUAACCGACGAUACCCGAAUGGGGAAACCCAGUGCAAUUCGUUGCACUAUUGCAUGGUGAAUACAUAGCCAUGCAAGGCGAACCGGGGGAACUGAAACAUCUAAGUACCCCGAGGAAAAGAAAUCAACCGAGAUUCCCCCAGUAGCGGCGAGCGAACGGGGAGGAGCCCAGAACCUGAAUCAGCAUAUGUGUUAGUGGAAGCGUCUGGAAAGUCGCACGGUACAGGGUGAUAGUCCCGUACACAAAAAUGCAUACGUUGUGAGUUCGAUGAGUAGGGCGGGACACGUGACAUCCUGUCUGAAUAUGGGGGGACCAUCCUCCAAGGCUAAAUACUCCUGACUGACCGAUAGUGAACCAGUACCGUGAGGGAAAGGCGAAAAGAACCCCGGCGAGGGGAGUGAAAUAGAACCUGAAACCGUGUACGUACAAGCAGUGGGAGCACCUUCGUGGUGUGACUGCGUACCUUUUGUAUAAUGGGUCAGCGACUUAUAUUUUGUAGCAAGGUUAACCGAAUAGGGGAGCCGUAGGGAAACCGAGUCUUAACUGGGCGAAUAGUUGCAAGGUAUAGACCCGAAACCCGGUGAUCUAGCCAUGGGCAGGUUGAAGGUUGGGUAACACUAACUGGAGGACCGAACCGACUAAUGUUGAAAAAUUAGCGGAUGACUUGUGGCUGGGGGUGAAAGGCCAAUCAAACCGGGAGAUAGCUGGUUCUCCCCGAAAGCUAUUUAGGUAGCGCCUCGUGAACUCAUCUUCGGGGGUAGAGCACUGUUUCGGCUAGGGGGUCAUCCCGACUUACCAAACCGAUGCAAACUCCGAAUACCGAAGAAUGUUAUCACGGGAGACACACGGCGGGUGCUAACGUCCGUCGUGAAGAGGGAAACAACCCAGACCGCCAGCUAAGGUCCCAAAGUCAUGGUUAAGUGGGAAACGAUGUGGGAAGGCACAGACAGCCAGGAUGUUGGCUUAGAAGCAGCCAUCAUUUAAAGAAAGCGUAAUAGCUCACUGGUCGAGUCGGCCUGCGCGGAAGAUGUAACGGGGCUAAACCAUGCACCGAAGCUGCGGCAGCGACACUUAGGUGUUGUUGGGUAGGGGAGCGUUCUGUAAGCCGUUGAAGGUGACCUGUGAGGGUUGCUGGAGGUAUCAGAAGUGCGAAUGCUGACAUAAGUAACGAUAAUGCGGGUGAAAAACCCGCACGCCGGAAGACCAAGGGUUCCUGUCCAACGUUAAUCGGGGCAGGGUGAGUCGACCCCUAAGGCGAGGCUGAAAAGCGUAGUCGAUGGGAAACAGGUUAAUAUUCCUGUACUUGGUGUUACUGCGAAGGGGGGACGGAGAAGGCUAGGCUAGCCGGGCGACGGUUGUCCCGGUUUAAGCAUGUAGGCGGAGCGACUUGGUAAAUCCGGUUGCUUAUCAACGCUGAGGUGUGAUGACGAGCCACUACGGUGGUGAAGUAGUUGAUGCCAAGCUUCCAGGAAAAGCCUCUAAGCAUCAGGUAACAUUAAAUCGUACCCCAAACCGACACAGGUGGUCAGGUAGAGAAUACUCAGGCGCUUGAGAGAACUCGGGUGAAGGAACUAGGCAAAAUGGUGCCGUAACUUCGGGAGAAGGCACGCUGGCAUUAGGUAAAGGGACUUGCUCCCGGCGCCGAAGCCAGUCGCAGAUACCAGCUGGCUGCAACUGUUUAAUAAAAACACAGCACUGUGCAAACACGAAAGUGGACGUAUACGGUGUGACGCCUGCCCGGUGCUGGAAGGUUAAUUGAUGGGGUCAGCCGCAAGGCGAAGCUCUUGAUCGAAGCCCCAGUAAACGGCGGCCGUAACUAUAACGGUCCUAAGGUAGCGAAAUUCCUUGUCGGGUAAGUUCCGACCUGCACGAAUGGCGUAAUGAUGGCCAGGCUGUCUCCACCCGAGACUCAGUGAAAUUGAACUCGCUGUGAAGAUGCAGUGUACCCGCGGCAAGACGGAAAGACCCCGUGAACCUUUACUAUAGCUUGACACUGAACAUUGAGCCUUGAUGUGUAGGAUAGGUGGGAGGCAUCGAAGUGUGGACGCCAGUCUGCAUGGAGCCAACCUUGAAAUACCACCCUUUAAUGUUUGAUGUUCUAACUCGGCCCCAUAAUCUGGGGUGAGGACAGUGUCUGGUGGGUAGUUUGACUGGGGCGGUCUCCUCCCAAAGAGUAACGGAGGAGCACGAAGGUUAGCUAAUCACGGUCGGACAUCGUGAGGUUAGUGCAAAGGCAUAAGCUAGCUUGACUGCGAGAGUGACGGCUCGAGCAGGUACGAAAGUAGGUCUUAGUGAUCCGGUGGUUCUGAAUGGAAGGGCCAUCGCUCAACGGAUAAAAGGUACUCCGGGGAUAACAGGCUGAUACCGCCCAAGAGUUCAUAUCGACGGCGGUGUUUGGCACCUCGAUGUCGGCUCAUCACAUCCUGGGGCUGAAGUAGGUCCCAAGGGUAUGGCUGUUCGCCAUUUAAAGUGGUACGCGAGCUGGGUUUAGAACGUCGUGAGACAGUUCGGUCCCUAUCUGCCGUGGGCGUUGGAAGAUUGAGAGGGGCUGCUCCUAGUACGAGAGGACCGGAGUGGACGAAUCACUGGUGUUCGGGUUGUCAUGCCAAUGGCAUUGCCCGGUAGCUAAAUUCGGAAGAGAUAACCGCUGAUAGCAUCUAAGCGGGAAACUUGCCUCGAGAUGAGUCUUCCCUGGGGCUUUAAGCCCCCUGAAGGAACGUUAAAGACUAUGACGUUGAUAGGCUGGGUGUGUAAGCGCAGCGAUGCAUUGAGCUAACCAGUACUAAUGAUCCGUGAGGCUUAACCU